ACACACGUUUCCAUAGAGAGAGGUUCCACUUUGCAUUAGCAGCUCAUGCUUCAGCGCUCUGCGAGUGUUUAUAGCCCUGUGACUUUAACACUUCCUGACUGAGAGCUGCUGCUCAGCGACUUCACCCACAGCAACCAUGAGUUUGAUCAGCGUCUUCAUCUGCACACUGGCCCUCUGCGCUCGAGGAUCCAGAGGUCAGGUGACUGUGACUCAGAGUCCUGCAGUGAAAUCUUUUUCUCCAGGAGACACACUCACCAUCAGCUGUAAAACCAGCUCUGCUGUUGUUGAUUACUGUGGUGGUAGCAACGACUGUUUGUCCUGGUAUCAGCAGAAAGCUGGAGAAGCUCCUAAACUCCUGAUCUAUUAUGCUAGCACUAGAGCAUCAGGUAUUCCAGCUCGUUUCAGUGGCAGUGGAUCUGGAUCUGAUUUCACUCUGACCAUCAGUGGAGUCCAGACUGAAGAUGCUGGAGAUUAUUACUGUCAGAGUUUACAUGAGAUCAGUAGUAGCUGGAUGUUCACACAGUGUUAGAGUGUCGUACAAAAACCUGGGUGAGUGUAACUGCUGCAGCUGGGACCUACUGCAGGUGCUGAGGGGGACGAUGUGAUACAGCACAAUGACACACACUGUGGAGGAGAACACACACUCACACACUCUCACAAACACACAACAUUCACUACUCUAAACGCAUAUACACACAUACUCUCUACUCUAUACACACUCACUACUCCACACAAACACACUUCUACUACUGCUACACACACUACUGAACACACACACCACCACCACACUCACUCACUACUACGCACACACACCUAUGAUAGCAAAAGUUCUUGUUUCUCCACUACAGGAUUUUUCACGUUCUCUUCUAGCGUAUUUUCAUUUUUUUUCUCUUGAAGAGCGCUUUUGUAUUUUGUCAAGACAGCGAGCGGAGGCCGUCCACACCGGAUCCACGCCGUCUAAAAUAACAUCAACUAACCUUCGACUAAGGUGUGUUAAACAACAUGUCGAGUGUGUUGAGUGCAGGAUGUUUAGUCACUCUUCCUCCAUCAUUAGUAAUAGCUUUAUUUGUGAUAAAUGCAUGUUAGUUAGCUCUCUGUCGGAGAAGAUUGCAGCAUUAGAGGUGCGCAUCCAGACUCUAGAGAGGGUUAGUGAGAGUGAGAGCAGCGUAGUUUCUGUAGGGGAAAGUCUGGAUGCCUUAGGCGGAGUUAGUAAUCCCCCAACUCCAGCAUUAGAGCCCUCACAGCGGGGCGAAUGGGUGACGACUCGGGGGCAUAAUCGCAAAGCGAGUGAAUAUACUGGGAGCCAGGGCACCGGACAUAGCAGGUAAUCUUAGGGUCUUAGGCAAGCACAGGUUCUCAAAGAUAGUUAUUCAUGUAGGAGCUAAUGUUACUAAGAGUAACGUGGUAGAGGUGUGUGCGAAGGCGAUGUCCAAUGCAGUAGUAUGCUCUGGCCCCAUCCCAAUGCAGCAUGGCGAUGUAGCUUACAGCAGGUUAUGGUCCCUGAACUGCUGGAUGUCCAGGUGGUGCUCCGAAAACAAUGUGGGCUUUAUAGAUAAUUGGACUAACUUUGCGGACAAGGCUGGCCUUUUAGGGCGGGACGGUGUCCAUCCCACUUGGGAAGGUGCUGCUCUCAUUUCUUGCAGCAUAGCACAUAGUCUAAGAACAGGACUAGUUAAUUGGUGAAAAGUCAGGGCCAAGGCCAGGGAGCAGACAAGCAGGCUAAACCGACCGUCUGCUUGCUGCACUGAAUCGUCACUUAGGUUCCACUGUAUUCAGACUGUGUCUGUUCCCCGAGCUAAACAAAAUUAUAGACAUACUCAGACUGUUUUAGUAACCUGUUACGUCCCGUGACGUGAAUUAUAUGGUGUAUACUGGUGAUUGUGUCUCCCCUUUAUUUCUCUCUCUCUCUCCCUCUCUCUCCCUCCACGCAGCGCUCCAAACUAUCAGCAGCUGAGCCUAAUUAGCGGGAGCGUGGUUCUUCUGUCAAGCGGGUGAAACAGCAGAUAUAAGGCGGCAGGGAAGCAGAGCUUGGAGAGAGUCCCUUUUCUGCUAUCCCAAACAACGUGUUGAGUACUUGCUGUUGAGCAAACGUGUAAUCGGUGAAUCUGUGGUGUGUAUAUGAAGUGGUCAUUUGAUCUUUUUGUGAAUUAAACAGUAAAACCAUGUAGGGAGACGGGAGCCUGUUCAUUAGGGCUUUAUACCCUUUCUGUUUUUUCUCCUGUUUUUAUGUCAGUCAGGGAGAGAGGUAAGACAACUGUCUUUGAUUUGCUUUUCUUUUGGUAGGUAAUUUAUAUAGUUUAAAUCCUUUAGGAAGAUCUUGUUUUGUUUAUUAUUUUGGCGUUGCCCUCUCCUGACGAUUUGGUUGUUUUCUGUUUAUCGAUCUUUGUUUGUUAUUUACUUGAUUUGCUAAGCCGGCAAAUAAACCACUUCAUUUGAGUA